rnacentral:rRNA from 1 species
GUACGAACGCUGGCGGCACGCUUAACACAUGCAAGUCGAACGAGAGAAGAGAAGCUUGCUUUUCUGAUCUAGUGGCGGACGGGUGAGUAACACGUGAGCAAUCUGCCUUUCAGAGGGGGAUACCGAUUGGAAACGAUCGUUAAUACCGCAUAAUAUAAUUGAACCGCAUGAUUUGAUUAUCAAAGAUUUAUCGCUGAAAGAUGAGCUCGCGUCUGAUUAGCUAGUUGGUAAGGUAACGGCUUACCAAGGCGACGAUCAGUAGCCGGACUGAGAGGUUGAUCGGCCACAUUGGGACUGAGACACGGCCCAGACUCCUACGGGAGGCAGCAGUGGGGAAUAUUGCACAAUGGAGGAAACUCUGAUGCAGCGAUGCCGCGUGAGGGAAGAAGGUUUUAGGAUUGUAAACCUCUGUCUUCAGGGACGAAAAAAGACGGUACCUGAGGAGGAAGCUCCGGCUAACUACGUGCCGGCAGCCGCGGUAAUACGUAGGGAGCGAGCGUUGUCCGGAAUUACUGGGUGUAAAGGGAGCGUAGGCGGGAUCGCAAGUCAGAUGUGAAAACUAUGGGCUUAACCCAUAAACUGCAUUUGAAACUGUGGUUCUUGAGUGAAGUAGAGGUAAGCGGAAUUCCUAGUGUAGCGGUGAAAUGCGUAGAUAUUAGGAGGAACAUCAGUGGCGAAGGCGGCUUACUGGGCUUUAACUGACGCUGAGGCUCGAAAGCGUGGGGAGCAAACAGGAUUAGAUACCCUGGUAGUCCACGCCGUAAACGAUGAUUACUAGGUGUGGGGGGACUGACCCCUUCCGUGCCGCAGCAAACGCAAUAAGUAAUCCACCUGGGGAGUACGACCGCAAGGUUGAAACUCAAAGGAAUUGACGGGGGCCCGCACAAGCAGUGGAGUAUGUGGAUUAAUUCGAAGCAACGCGAAGAACCUUACCAGGUCUUGACAUCGUAUGCAUAGCUCAGAGAUGAGUGAAAUCUCUUCGGAGACAUAUAGACAGGUGGUGCAUGGUUGUCGUCAGCUCGUGUCGUGAGAUGUUGGGUUAAGUCCCGCAACGAGCGCAACCCUUACUGUUAGUUGCUACGCAAGAGCACUCUAGCAGGACUGCCGUUGACAAAACGGAGGAAGGUGGGGAUGACGUCAAAUCAUCAUGCCCCUUAUGACCUGGGCCUCACACGUACUACAAUGGCUGUCAACAGAGGGAUGCAAAGCCGCGAGGUGGAGCGAACCCCUAAAAGCAGUCUUAGUUCGGAUUGUAGGCUGCAACCCGCCUACAUGAAGUCGGAAUUGCUAGUAAUCGCAGAUCAGCAUGCUGCGGUGAAUACGUUCCCGGGCCUUGUACACACCGCCCGUCACGCCAUGGGAGUCGGUAACACCCGAAGCCAAUAGUCUAACCGCAAGGAGGACGCAGUCGA